CUUUCUUAAAGGGGUUUACCAGGAUUAUUAUGGUUUGUAACAGAUAUGCUCAUGGUGUUGAUUACCUCAUUUACAUCUUCCCCAUGUUUUAUUUUCAAUUGGGACUCUCCUGACCUGUUUUCACUACAUAAACCAAUCCUUCUGGUUUG